rnacentral:rRNA from 1 species
AUACGUAGGGGGCGAGCGUUGUCCGGAAUGAUUGGGCGUAAAGGGCGCGUAGGCGGCUUUGCAAGUCAGUAGUGGAAGUCCAUUUUUCAAGGAUGGAAGUGCUACAGAAACUGCGGAGCUUGAGUGCAGGAGAGGAAAGUGGAAUUCCUAGUGUAGCGGUGAAAUGCGUAGAGAUUAGGAAGAACACCGGUGGCGAAGGCGACUUUCUGGGCGAAGACUGACGCUGAGGCGCGAAAGCGUGGGGAGCAAACAGGAUUAGAUACCCUGGUAGUCCACGCUGUAAACGAUGGGUACUAGGUGUAGGAGGUAUCGACCCCUUCUGUGCCGGAGUUAACGCAAUAAGUACCCCGCCUGGGGACUACGGUCGCAAGACUAAAACUCAAAUGAAUUGACGGGG